rnacentral:sRNA from 1 species
UACUUCAUAUACGAAGC